rnacentral:rRNA from 1 species
AGCUCCAAUAGCGUAUAUUAAAGUUGUUGCAGUUAAAAGCUCGUAGUUGGAUUUCUGGUCGGGUGACCCGGCCCUCAAGCUGAGUGUGCAAGGCCGCCCGUCCAUCCUUCUGUUAACUUUUAAGAUCUUCACGAUCUUUCUAGGGCUCAGAUAUUUUACCUUGAGAAAAAUUAGAGUGUUUCAGGCAGGCUAGCGCCGGAAUACAUUAGCAUGGAAUAAUGGAAUAGGACUUUUGCCUCUUCUGUUGGUCUGAGGGGUUCGAGUAAUGAUUAAUAGGGAUAGUUGGGGGCAUUAGUACUUAACUGUCAGAGGUGAAAUUCUCGGAUUUGUUAAAGACUAACUUAUGCGAAAGCAUUGCCAAGGAUGUUUUCA